CAGCCGCCGCGGGAAUACGAAGGGUGCAAGCGUUAAUCGGAAUUACUGGGCGUAAAGCGUGCGUAGGCGGUUUGUUAAGUCUGCUGUGAAAUCCCCGGGCUCAACCUGGGAAUGGCGAUGGAUACUGGCUGGCUAGAGUGUGUCAGAGGAUGGUGGAAUUUCCGGUGUAGCGGUGAAAUGCGUAGAGAUCGGAAGGAACAUCAGUGGCGAAGGCGGCCAUCUGGGACAACACUGACGCUGAAGCACGAAAGCGUGGGGAGCAAACAGGAUUAGAUACCCCAGUAGUCCCUGUCUCUUAUAC
rnacentral:rRNA from 1 species